UACGUAGGGGGCAAGCGUUGUCCGGAUUCAUUGGGCGUAAAGAGCGUGUAGGCGGCCAGGUAGGUCGGUUGUGAAAACUGGAGGCUCAACCUUCAGAGGUCGACCGAAACCAUCUGGCUAGAGUCCGGGAGAGGAGAGUGGAAUUCCUGGUGUAGCGGUGAAAUGCGCAGAUAUCAGGAAGAACACCCGUGGCGAAAGCGGCUCUCUGGAUCGGUACUGACGCUGAGACGCGAAAGCGUGGGGAGCGAACAGG
rnacentral:rRNA from 1 species